rnacentral:lncRNA from 10 species
CUGCACUGAAUAUCUGAUUUUGGGAGAGGAGCCCUAGGACAAGAGACAGCAAGAGGGGCUGAGAGCAAGCAGGGCACCAGAAGCUGGGAGCGUGGAGGGACGUGACCAGGGAGAAGUCCCCUGUGUUGGGGGAGGCCUGUGAAUUUUAGGAACUCUGAUAUCUAACUCUCAAGGCAUGUCCUUGCCAAGCAGCAAUACAAUUAAGUGUGCCUAAUCUUAUGGCUCCCACACUUUCAAUUGUUCUUCCUGAAACAAUUAGAUAUGAAGCCGCAAGAGCCCAGGCAGGGCUGGAUUGAUUCUUGAACUAAUCAACAUUUAUGCCCUCUUGGCUAAACUAGGCAGAGUUGGUUUUAUUACAGUUCAGAUGUGAUUAAGCACACUGUAUUGUGUCAGCGGCAGGUGACGAGCCACACAGUGUCCUGAGGCCUGAUGAAAGGGCUAUGCCAACCACAGUCCCAGAGGAGGAGCUGGCUGUAGCAGCGACUGACCCAGGAGCUGAAGUGAGCCAAGCCCCCUCCUCCUGAGACCCCUGAGAGGUAAGGCAGGCUCAUGCCAGACCCUAUUACGUCCCACAUCAUGGCUAGAACCAGAACCAUCUUACAUGGCUGGUCAAGGCAAGGAUAACCCCAGGAAGUCAGAGGACUUGGAGACUCUGUAUUGUAGGAAAAAAAAAAAAUACUAGAAAAGACACUGGAGCGUCACCAGCAGUCACCCCUGGAUGGUGGCAUUAUUAUUAUUAGUAGUA